rnacentral:lncRNA from 1 species
CCAGAUGCCACCCCCCCCCAAAAAAAAAUGACUCCAAAACAAAACCAACCCCUGGAAAUCCCUGGACUUAUUUUCUGGCCUUGUAGGAGAGGCUAUUUUCCCUAAAGUUGCAUGAGGAUGAUGGUGGAGGCAGGGAUACACUCUGUAUGGGGUUGUUCCACAGAGAUAUUUCUCUAAGGAGUGUCACUGGAAUGAGAACUCUAAGCUAAGUUCCAUAUAAAAUAUACCACUUCAGUAGGAAGUAAGAUACUCAAGAUACUCAGACAAAGGCUGAAGGGCCAUUCAUCACAAAUGCUUCAGGGAAUUUCUGGUCAUAUAAGAGCCAAACUAAGUAUUCUCUGAGUUUGCAUAUAAAUUUUGGAUUCGGUGAUUUUCCCCAUAUUGGCCCAGUACCUUUGUGACAGAAAAGCCAUAAGAACAAGGAUUUAUUUACUAAAGUAUGAUGGUCACCAUUUGGCAUAUGACUGUUAGGAUGUCAAGGUAAAAUGACUUGCCCCAAAUCUCAGCUGCUAUGAUACUUUUCAGACCCGAGAUUCUUAUUCUGAACCCCAUGUCCAGUGCUUCCAUUCUAUAUUAUGAUGUGUAACACUAGAAUCAUAAGGGAAUCUAUACUACACUUAGUUUAGUCCAUGAUUUAGCAUGCAUGCAGCCUUAAUAUAAUAUGUUGGGCUGUUUUCAUCACUUUGGCUCAACUAGAAUCUUGAAAUCUUGGUCAAGCUUUCUGAGAGAAUCAGCAAGAUAUAAAAAGUAUGACAGGAAAUCUUGGCAAUCUAAGUUCUUGGAAAAGGUCAUGUCAGUCUUAAUAUCCCUGGCUAUGCUGAUAAGGAAUCCCAUCUCUGACCUGUAUGACUUUAACACCUAUAUGUCCUUGGUCUUUUGUAGGAUUCUUCAAACUUUGAGUAACUUGGGAAUCUUUUGGCUUCCAGUUUCAAGAGAGAAGGUAGAAGAAUGUAACCACUUCAGGAUACUGAAGAAAAAGACUGAGAAGGAGAACAGAGGGGCCUCCAGUUCCAAUUACUUGCUUCCUGUCCUAGCAGUAAAGAUCUCCUUAGAAAAGGAUGAUUGGAGAAGAGCCCAGAGAUGCCUAUUUUUCCUUCCUUCAAAACAUACAACAACAGUUCUUACUAUAGAAGUAGGAAUUCAGCUCAAGGAGACAGAAAGCAUGGCACUUUUUAUAUUCAGAAGACCUGAGGCAAAAGCCUAUCCUGGCGCUCACCAUCUAUGUCUUCUUGGGUUAAACAACUCUAGUUCCUUCAAAAAUGGAAUGCACUACAGUUCUCUCACCACCUACAGGGCCCCAUUCAAUAUGUUUUCUAAUUCUCCAAUGUUCUUCCUAAUAUACAGGGCUUAGAAAAGCAUGCAAUAUUCUAGAUGUGGUUUGGAGGACAAAAGCAUAUGAUACUAUCAUCUCUUUUGCUCUGAAUACUUUCACCUAGCCAUGAUUUCCUCAGCCUAUAUUUUUGUAAUGGACAUGAUUGAAUGAGAGAGACUUGUGGGCAAAUUUCAACAAUAUUUCCAUUUCUUCCGCUAUAAAAUUAGGAUGACAACCAUAUAAAAUUUUCAUAGGAAAUAAGUUUAAAUAAAUCAAUCACCAAACAUUUUUGAGGAUCA